rnacentral:rRNA from 1 species
UUAAGCUAUAAAGAGCACAGGGCGGAUGCCUAGGCACUGAGAGCCGACGAAGGACGUGACAAGCUGCGAUAAGCUGCGGGGAGAAGCAAAUAUUCUGUGAGCCGCAGAUUUCCGAAUGGGGGAACCCACGUGAGCAAACCUCACGUAUCCAUACGCCAAUCCAUAACGUAUGGAAGGGAACCCGGGGAACUGAAACAUCUAAGUACCCGGAGGAAGAGAAAGAAACAUCGAUUUCCUUAGUAGCGGCGAGCGAAAGGGAAAGAGCCCAAACCGCGGGAUUUAUCCUGCGGGGUUAGGACUGCAUAAUUGAUUCGGGAUUGAUAGGAGAACGGUCUGGGAAGUCCGGCGAAAAAGCGUGAAAGCCGCGUAUCCGAAAUUAAAACCGACAUGGCAGUAUCCAGAGUACCACGAGACACGAGAAACCUUGUGGGAAUGAGCGGAGACCACUCCGUAAGGCUAAAUACUACUCAGUGACCGAUAGUGCAUAGUACUGUGAAGGAAAGGUGAAAAGGACCCCGGGAGGGGAGUGAAAGAGAACCUGAAACCCUGUGUUUACAAGCUGUCGGAGCACUAUAAAUGUGCGACGGCGUACUUUUUGUAGAACGGUCCGGCGAGUUAUGGCAUGUGGUAAGGUUAAGUACUUCAGGUACGGAGCCGAAGCGAAAGCGAGUGUGAACAGCACGUAAGAAUCACCUGCCAUAGACCCGAAACCGGGUGAUCUAUCCAUGUCCAGGAUGAAGCUGCCGUAAGAGGUAGUGGAGGUCCGAACACACAUCCGUUGAAAAGGGUGGUGAUGAGGUGUGGAUAGGGGAGAAAUUCCAAUCGAACCCGGAGAUAGCUGGUUCUCCUCGAAAUAGCUUUAGGGCUAGCCCCGUAACAGUCUUGCGGAGGUAGAGCACUGAAUUUCCUAGGGGGCGUCAAAGCCUACCGAAGAAUAUCAAACUGCGAAUGCCGUACAGAUGAUUUACGGGAGUCAGACUGCACGAGAUAAGUUGGGUGGUCAAAAGGGAAAGAGCCCAGACCCGCAGCUAAGGUCCCAAAGUGCGUGUUAAGUGGAAAAGGAUGUGGGAUUUCGAAGACAACCAGGAUGUUGGCUCAGAAGCAGCCACACAUUAAAAGAGUGCGUAAUAGCUCACUGGUCGAGAGGUCCUGCGCCGAAAAUGUCCGGGGCUGAAACACGACACCGAAGCUCGGGAAUCAGUAAUGAUUGGUAGAGGAGCAUUGAAGACGGAACGAAGCCAUACCGGAAGGAGUGGUGGACUGUCUUGAAGAGAGAAUGCCGGAAUGAGUAGCGAGAGAGAAGUGAGAAUCUUCUCGGCCGAAUAUCCAAGGUUUCCAGGGUAAAGCUGAUCUGCCCUGGGUAAGUCGGGGCCUAAGGCGAGGUCGGAAGACGUAGCCGAUGGACAACAGGUUGAAAUUCCUGUACUGUGAUAUAUCAGAACUGUGGGGACACAGCGGGAAGGCAUGGGCCGGAAAAGGAAAAUCCGGUGCAAGCACCAGAGGAGUAUGGCAGGCAAAUCCGCCAUGCAAUCCGAAAGUGUGAUGCGGAGCGAACAAAAGUAGCGAAGCAUGCUUACCGGCUGUCGAGAAAAGCCGCUAUUGCGUAUAUCACACCCGUACCGUAAACCGACACAGGUGGAUGAGGAGAGAAUCCUAAGGCCGGCGGGAGAAGCAUUGUUAAGGAACUCGGCAAAAUGACCCCGUAACUUCGGGAGAAGGGGUGCUCUUGAAAAAGAGCCGCAGAGAAUUGGCCCAAGCAACUGUUUAGCAAAAACACAGGUCUAUGCAAAACCGAAAGGUGAGGUAUAUGGGCUGACGCCUGCCCGGUGCUGGAAGGUUAAGAGGAGAGGUUAGAGCAAUCAAAGCCUUGAAUUUAAGCCCCAGUAAACGGCGGCCGUAACUAUAACGGUCCUAAGGUAGCGAAAUUCCUUGUCGGGUAAGUUCCGACCCGCACGAAAGGCGUAAUGAUUUGGGCACUGUCUCGACAAUGCAC